rnacentral:rRNA from 1 species
AGCGAACGCUGGCGGCAGGCUUAACACAUGCAAGUCGAGCGGGCGUAGCAAUACGUCAGCGGCAGACGGGUGAGUAACGCGUGGGAACGUGCCCUUUGGUUCGGAACAACACAGGGAAACUUGUGCUAAUACCGAAUAAGCCCUUACGGGGAAAGAUUUAUCGCCGAAGGAUCGGCCCGCGUCUGAUUAGCUUGUUGGUGAGGUAACGGCUCACCAAGGCUACGAUCAGUAGCUGGUCUGAGAGGAUGAUCAGCCACACUGGGACUGAGACACGGCCCAGACUCCUACGGGAGGCAGCAGUGGGGAAUAUUGGACAAUGGGGACAACCCUGAUCCAGCCAUGCCGCGUGAGUGAUGAAGGCCCUAGGGUUGUAAAGCUCUUUCGGCGGGGAAGAUAAUGACGGUACCCGCAUAAGAAGCCCCGGCUAACUUCGUGCCAGCCGCCGCGGUAA